rnacentral:rRNA from 1 species
UACGGGGGGGGGCAAGCGUUGUUCGGAAUUACUGGGCGUAAAGGGCUCGUAGGUGGCCAACUAAGUCAGACGUGAAAUCCCUCGGCUUAACCGGGGAACUGCGUCUGAUACUGGAUGGCUUGAGUUUGGGAGAGGGAUGCGGAAUUCCAGGUGUAGCGGUGAAAUGCGUAGAGAUCGGGAGGAACACCUGUGGCGAAGGCGGCCGACUGGGCCGACCCUGACGCUGAGGCGCGAAGGCGUGGGGAGCGAACGGG